UAUCACAUAAUAUGUGUAUUCUUUUUCCUUCCCUCGAAACCCUAAAUUUCAAUGCUAUUUGAUUUUUGAGGCAAGCUUUCUUGGUCUCAGAUGUCGACGAAUUCUAUCCCUUUGUUUGAGAACCGGAAAAAGAGAACUUUUGCUUGUAUGUGCACCCCCCAAUGAGUCAUGGGUGGUUGCUCUAUCAGCAGAGGAAGUUCCAUACAGAACUUGCGGGUGGGAUCAAUUCUGCAAGAGAUGGAAUGAACAGUAUUUUGUUGCUUGGCUAAGUAGGAAUGACAGAUUGGUUUGAGGCAUACCUUGGAUGUGAUAGUUUAGCAUGAUUCAGAGCAAAAGGGAGAUAGUCAAGGUAGAAAACAAGGUUGUUCUAGGUGCAGAGUUGGCAGAAUUUGAGUGCAUGUGGUCGUCCCUCCUGAAUUCACACCCACAGAUCUUGCUGACACUCCUCGGUGAACUGACUCUAUUGUUAAUUAGGCAAUAAGGGUUGGCUCAAUUUGUAGGAUCAAACUGCACCAAUAAAAUGGUCUCAGAGAUCAAAUGACGAACACAUCAGAAGCAAUUCCAAAUCACUCGAUGAAAGUAAUAGGGAGGAUGAGAAGGAGUAUACUGAAACCCUAUGUGGGAGUUGUGGCAGCCGGAAUUACAACUACGAUGAGUUCUGGAUUUAGAGGUACUUAAGGAAGAUGCUUUUAGAUAUUGGGAUCUAUUUUGCAAAAAGGUGGAGAGAUUGAUGAGGAUGUAAAUCAUAGUAUCAUAGUAGGGUGAAUGAAAUGGCGUAGUGCAUUUGGGUUUUUACGUGACUACAAUAUUCCCCUUAAGUUAAAAGGAAAUUUUUAUAGAACAGUAAGGCCUGCAAUAUUAUAUGAAGCUGAAUGUUGGCCAGUACAUAGGGCAACAUGAGCAUAAAAUGGGAGUAGUAUAAAUGAGGAUGUUAAGAUGAAUGUGUGGUUAUACGAGGAUGGAUAAGAUAAGAAGUGAAGAUAUUUGACGAAAGAUAGGAGUAGUAUCGGUGGCUGAAAAGAUGAGAGAACAUAGAUUGAAGUGGUUUGGGCACGCAAUGAGAAGGCCCCUGGAUGCUCUCGUAAGAACAAAAGUUUGUUACCAAGAGCUCGACACAAAGAGAGGUAGAGAGGUAGACCAAAACUUACUUGGGGGAAAGUAGUAAAACAAGACUUGAUGGAAUGAGAUAUAGAUUGAUGGUCGGUGUGUCUUAAGACAGAAUGGAGAAAAACGAUAAGAUGAUGGAGGGUUAGACUCGUUAUUUCUAUGUUCCAGAUGGGCCCUUUUUAGUUCUUUUUCUCUUCAUCUUCCCCCUCUCCUUAUUUUUUCCUUCUUUUCCUUUAUCUUUUUUCCCCUUCUUAAUAAUUUUUUUUUUUUUUACUUAUUUAUUUAUU